GUGGAAGAAUUUUGGAAUCAUUCUUCCAUGUCCGUCAGUCGCUUAGGCUACAUCUAGAGGAUUCUGUCAAUAUAUUAAAAGGGAAAUUCUAAAUGUGACUGUAAUUUCAUCAGAUCCUCAAGCAGGUACUGUUAUUUUGCGGAAAAGCUUGGAAUAGACGAAUGCGCGUGAAUAGACUUUGCGCGAGUAAGCUCCUGAAAAUAUAUGGGGUUCUGAAUGUGCAUACAUUGUUCAUUGUGCAAUGAUACAAAAUAUCGCUGUUAGCUCCGGGUGUCAACAGAUAAAUUGGGACUUAUUCGGUGGGAGCUCCGCACCAGCAACUAUCUCCGUGCAGGUGACUUCAUACGCCGGAAACGUCGUGGACAAAUGAAAAUACCACUGCAUCUGAGAAAAAACUUCCUUACCCAUCACCACAAAACAACUUCUAAAAGCACAGCUUGUGAUGCAAUUCUGGCACUUCCCUUUGGAGAAGAGCCCUGAGACCAGUUUAAAUCCCAACAAUCACUGUCUAAUUAACAUAAUACACAAUAAUACAUUCUCUACUGGAUUUUUACAGACUUUCUGAUUGCUAAAUCAAGACAAUAUCCACUCUUAGAAGCAUAAAGCCAUCAAGCUCUAUUCUCUUCCCAGCUAUGGCUCCCCCUAGCCACUUUCACAUUUCCUUGUUUAUGUGCAGCAUAAUGUGAUGUCCCUCCCUUCUCUUCAAAAUUAUAAAGACACUACCUAUCACCUGAAAACCUUUAUUUCCCUGGAUACAUUCGGAGAUUAGAGUCUCUGAAUACACUAUAUCCAUCCAAUGGCACCCUAUCCAUAGUGGAACCUAGCUUUUCUUACCUUUAUAUAGUGCCUCUCUAUACCUUCCUCUCCAAAGUCCCAACCACGAUAGUCUCCUUCUUCUUCCCAGAAAUCCCUGCAAAAGGGGCACUUCCAUGUAAGUUGAAUGUGUAGGGGUGCUCAUAUUGGACUAAACCAUUACUAUAUAAUAUUGAGGCCCCAAAAUGCUCAGUAUAGGCCUAUUUGGGCACAUAGAACCAUAAGCUCCAACAUGUCCCUUUCAAAUGGUAUGACCCUGUCCCUGACAUAAAUACCCCUCCUCAGACUCUCUCUGUCCCCCCUCAAGAGCUUUCACAUCAUAUGGCCCAUCCACCAGUCAUACAGCCAACACUGAGAAGCAAUUGUCACUCAGUGCACAGCUGAGACAGCUGAGUGUUUCCCCUGAGUUUGGAGCAUUCACCAAGCAUUGGAGCCUCUUAAACUGGCCCACAACGCUUGGUAGUGGGUGUUUUGGACACACAGACCCCUUUUAAAUGUAGUAGACCGUCAAAAACCAUAGGAAAAUAAUUUGGUGUGAAUAUGAAGCAAUCAGGAGAAAGGGAAACAUCUUCUCCAAAUGUCCCUCUCCAAAAGAGCAGUGAUUUGUUCCACUAGGACAACUAGUUUUCCACUCACACAAGAAGAAGCUAAUUAAGCUUUUUCUUUGGUCCAAAUGUUAAUGUUUAUGUUUUUCUUUAUAUAUUAUUUUAAAUUGUCAGUUUAAGUGGUGCCAGAAGGCAAGUGACAAUACUGGGCUCUCUGCUUUGAAAGCUUUCCAACUGACAGCACACAAUAUUGUGCACAGGUAAGGACUUGAUUUUUUUUUUUUAACUAACUAAAACUAAACUAAAAAACUAGUUAACUUAGUUAACCAAAAGAUUAACUCAUAGUUAUUUAUUUAUUUUAGAAUCUCAAACUGAAAUUAUGCACCAAAUAAUAUACAACAUACCCCUGCUGUAGUUUAGUUAAAAGCAGAGUCCUGGAAUUUUUCCUAGUACAAUAUAAGAACAUUUACCUUACAUGUACUCAGUUAAUGACUUGAUAGAACAGAAUUGGAUUUAGCCUACCUGAAUUUGCAGCUACAGUAGACUAUAUUUCACGCUGGAUAUGACAGCAAAAUUAUUUCGAAAGGGCAGUUUUUUAAAACACUAUCUUUGUAGAGCACUCUUAUAUCAGAGUAUUUCCAAAGUGGUGAUGAAACAUUGUUAGGUUUCCUGCAAGUCCAGACUUGAGCUGUCUCUUGUCCUAAAGAAAUGAGACCCCUUUCCCAUUCAGCAACUGCCCCAAGCACCCGUACAUCAAUUCAAAUCGUCAGUCAAAAUAGGGCGUAAAACGUAGUCUUUGUAAUAAACUGGGUAUUACAAACCGUAGCAAACGUCCCAACACCUGCCAGAGCAGUGCAUUUAGGCGAAUUAACAUUUAUCAUGUAUUCGUCUUUAUAUAAUGUUAAAAACGAUGCCUAAUCGAAUAUAAAAUCUCACACUACAUUUACCUAAGUGCUGCCUGAGUAGGCUUCAGCGCGAGACUGGGAAUGUCAGCUGCUGACACGCACGUGUGGCUUCUGUUCAUUGGAGCAGCCGCAGCUGUCAGACUAGAAUAGCGCACAUAUGAGGGUAAUAAGCACAGAAAAAACUGACAUUAAGUGCAUUUAUCUGUAUUGCAGCCUUGGUUUUAUUAGAAUCGAAAUUUAGAAUCGGGCUGUGUUUCUGCGGUUUGAAUGAGUAAAUAUUUACAUGUACAAUGAAAACCUUUAUUGCUAUAAACAGACGCAUUUAGUGGGGUUUGCUGACAUUGCAUGUGCCACAAGCUGAACGGUUACUGUAAUUCGAAAAAUAAGGAAAUGCUAACCCAUGCAUGCCUAUAUACAAUAAAAUCGAACUAUAUAGAAUUUGAGGAUUCUAAAUUAUUUAUUUUAGCUGAAUUAGCAUAACGGAGUUAUACACGAUGUGGUCUUGCAGUACAAGUCAUAACGCACUGGCUAUUAUUCCAGGUAAAGAAAUUAAUGUAGUGCAUAUGAGGCGGUGCUUGUAGUAGUAUAGAAUAUUGUCUGUGAGUGUAAAAAACGUGCUUCUACAUUACAUGUGCGAAAUAGUCUUCCGUUUUGUUUCAUACAUUUUCUCAGUGAUAGUCUCAAUGUGCAAGGUAUUUUUGUAUGGACUGGUUUUAAUAAAAAGGUGGAAAACAAAUACAUACAUUUUAGGGUAAGGUUCGUGUGUCCGUAUGCUGUCCUUUAAUGUUUUUAUAUGAAAACAUAAAAAAGCCAAUAAAAUGCUAUAUUUCUGGACAAAAUGUGUUAUUGUAUUCAUAGAGUAGUCAUUUUAAGCACUGACCUAGACUACCACUC